GCGGCGGUGGUGGAACAGGCAGACACGUACGUUUGAGGGGCGUAUCCGCGAGGGUGAGGGUUCAAGUCCCUCUCGCCGCACCA
rnacentral:tRNA from 1 species